GCAUAUCAAUAAGCGGAGGAAAAAGAAACCAACAGGGAUUGCCCUAGUAACGGCGAGUGAAGCGGCAACAGCUCAAAUUUGAAAUCUGGCCCUCGGGUCCGAGUUGUAAUUUGUAGAGGAUGCUUUUGGUGCGGUGCCUUCCGAGUUCCCUGGAACGGGACGCCAUAGAGGGUGAGAGCCCCGUCUGGUUGGACACCAAGCCUCUGUAAAGCUCCUUCGACGAGUCGAGUAGUUUGGGAAUGCUGCUCUAAAUGGGAGGUAUAUGUCUUCUAAAGCUAAAUACCGGCCAGAGACCGAUAGCGCACAAGUAGAGUGAUCGAAAGAUGAAAAGCACUUUGAAAAGAGGGUUAAAUAGUACGUGAAAUUGUUGAAAGGGAAGCGCUUAUGACCAGACUUGAGCCCGGUUAAUCAUCCAGCCUUCUGGCUGGUGCACUUGGCCGGCUCAGGCCAGCAUCAGUUCGGCGCGGGGGAUAAAGGCUUCGGGAAUGUGGCUCCUCCGGGAGUGUUAUAGCCCGUUGUGUAAUACCCUGUACUGGACUGAGGUUCGCGCAUCUGCAAGGAUGCUGGCGUAAUGGUCAUCAGCGACCCGUCUUGAAACACGGACCAAGGAGUCGUCUUCGUAUGCGAGUGUUCGGGUGUCAAACCCCUACGCGUAAUGAAAGUGAACGCAGGUGAGAGCUUCGGCGCAUCAUCGACCGAUCCUGAUGUUCUCGGAUGGAUUUGAGUAAGAGCAUACGGAGCCGGACCCGAAAGAAGGUGAACUAUGCCUGUAUAGGGUGAAGCCAGAGGAAACUCUGGUGGAGGCUCGCAGCGGUUCUGACGUGCAAAUCGAUCGUCAAAUAUGGGCAUGGGGGGCGAAAGACUAAUCGAACCUUCUAGUAGGAAGCUCGUCUGCCGAAGU
rnacentral:rRNA from 1 species